UUGAGGGUCUCAUAGGAAAACAGUUGGAAGCCAGAGACUGAGAAGCGUUGAGGAGAGGAGGGGAGGCUGGCAACCAUCUUUCUUGUGACCUUGUUUCUGCCCUAGACAUUUGCCAAGGAGGAACCAAAGGAAGAUAUUGACGUCUCUAUUCUGCCCCAGCUGGAGCAUUGCAGCUCCAGGAAGAUGAAUACAUGGCUUGGCAUUUUCUAUGGUUACAAGGGGCUGCUGCUGCUGCUGGGAAUCUUCCUUGCUUAUGAGACCAAGAGUGUGUCCACUGAGAAGAUCAAUGAUCACCGGGCUGUGGGCAUGGCUAUCUACAAUGUGGCAGUGAGCACUGACCCCAUGGCAUUGACCCUGUAGGCUGACCACAGCAGCCCAGAUAUAGAGGACUAGGAAGAAUCAAUGCUAGAUCUGGGAUCGGUUGCUUAGAAGUCUUAAAAAGUUUGUUAAUUCUUCAGGUCUAUAAAGCACUUUACAGUUUACAAA
rnacentral:sRNA from 1 species